CCAGCAGCCCACAUCGCAGCACGAGCGCCGCGUCCAGCCCCGAGAGCUCUGCCCAGCCGCAGCAAUGGCCCUACACAACUGUACCUUUCUCCUGGUAUUGACUGUGAUUGCUAUGGUCGCAGCUAGCCCUGUUCCAGAACCGGGAUACUAUGGAGGAGGUGGUUACCAUGAACACUACCUCAUUCACGCACCAUUUAACGUCCACACAGUGCAUUAUUACCAUGUGAAGAAGGUGCAUGUUCCCGUGUACGUCAAAGAGGUCUACCACGGCUGGCAUCCGUGGGAUUAAGCGCCCAGGCGAGGCUGGCAGUCAAUGAACAUCUGCAGCGACUGCAGGGAAAGAUGUCACGGAAACUCGCGAGCCGUUGGAGCAACGGGAGUCCUGACACCAUCAUUCGUUCUACCACCCACCCACCACGCAUUCCAUGAUUUUUUUGUUAUUUACAUUGUUUUAUUAAUUUAUCGUUCUAGGCUAGUAUUCGUUAUGCAGUGCUCACAAUACAUGACGCAUUUUGUACA